UUGGGAAUCUUGGACAAUGGGGGAAACCCUGAUCCAGCCAUGCCGCGUGAGUGAUGAAGGCCUUCGGGUUGUAAAACUCUUUCGACGGGGACGAUAAUGACGGUACCCGUAGAAGAAGCUCCGGCUAACUUCGUGCCAGCAGCCGCGGUAAUACGAAGGGGGCUAGCGUUGUUCGGAAUUACUGGGCGUAAAGCGCGCGCAGGCGGUUUUCCAAGUCAGUGGUGAAAGCCCGGAGCUCAACUCCGGAACUGCCAUUGAAACUGUUGAACUUGAGGACGAGAGAGGUGAGUGGAAUUCCCAGUGUAGAGGUGAAAUUCGUAGAUAUUGGGAAGAACACCAGUGGCGAAGGCGGCUCACUGGCUCGUUUCUGACGCUCAGGCGCGAUAGCGUGGGGAUCAAACA
rnacentral:rRNA from 1 species